AGACAGGCAUUGCCAGUCUUCUCUCGACUGUUUUUGAGGCCUUGUGAAAAGGGUACUUGUAGGCGAAGUUUCAUAUAGAGAUAAGGUAUUCAAUGACAGGCUUGGCUCAAUGGAUUCACUAAGAUCUACUACAUAAUUAUAGAAUAACACACAAAAGAGGGAUUAAAGUAGCCAAUCAUGUUGAAGUUGUCCAUCAACAUCCAGACCAUUUUGGCGGGAAUGAGCAUUGGUCUUUUUGUGUACUACGUCAUCAAACGGAUGCGGUAUCGUCUGCCACCUGGACCAUGGUGUAUCCCACUUAUUGGGCAUUAUAAGAGUAACGAUGUGUUUAAUUUCACUCAGAGAGAUAACAAGUUUUGUUUUUCAAACUAAAUCUCAAUGUUAACUAUUAUAAGCUCCAUGUAUCGUUUUAUUUGUACAUAAAAUAUAGGACGUUUAGAAUUAUGAAUAACAAGCAAGCGUUAAAAUAUUAUUUUAUUUCCUAUAGUUUAUUCAUCGCCUGAGUUUCACUUAAAAACCGCAGCGCUUGCAAAGGAAUACGGUCCUAUAAUCCGGCUGUCUGUUGGUCCCCAAACCUGGGUUGUUCUAAAUGACAUCAACUCUGUGCUGGAAGCAAUGGUAACGAAAAAGACCGAUUUUGCUGGAAGACCACAUAUUACAUCAGGUGAUGUGUUUACGGAAGGAGGAGAUAACCCUGGCUAAUUAUUCAGCUUCCUGGAAAUUACAUAGGAAAAUAGUCGGAAGGCCCUAAGGUCAGUUGCACCGGUACUUUUUUCCUAUCAUGAAUAUUGACUUGAAAAUGAUUACUACGUUUACUUAAUUCAACUACAAUCAAUUUUUAGGAAUUAUCUUCAAGGGGAUUUAUUGGAAAACAUGAUUCAAGACAACAUGAAUAAAUUUUUGGACAAGAUGGCCGAAGAGAAAGGACCGUUCGUUUUCAAAGAAUACAUGGAUCUGAUAAUUUUUCAUCAACUUGUACACCAAUUAUGUUUUGGAGAAAAGACGUCCUGUAGAUGACCCGGAGGUGAAAAGAUUUAUUAACAUUAGACAAUGAUCUGCUGGAGAAAUUUGGUUCGGGUUCUUUGAAGACGUAUUUCCCUAUCUGAGACACAUCUUUACGACGGCUAAAUGGAAGAAAAUGCUUCUGUUGACAGAAGAAGUGCUGAACGUUCUCCGGAAGAAUUUGAAAGAACACAAAGAAACUUUCCAGCCAGGAGUCAACAGGGACUUUACAGACAGCAUGCUUAUCGCCAAACAGGAAGCGAAGGAUGAGGGCGAUGAGGCGGCCCUGGAGAUCUUGGAUGACACGCACCUGGUUCAGACAAUAUCUAAUAUCUUCUUUGCGGGGGCAGACACUACUCGUUUCCUUAUUGACUGGUUCGUUUAUUUCAUGACACGAUUUCCGGAAACCCAAGCAAAAUGUCAGGAGGAAAUUGACAGAGUUGUUGGAUCGAAGCAACUUUCAAUGAAGGACAGAGGCAAUUUAGAUUACACCGAGGCCUGUAUAUUUGAGACGAUGCGAAUUUCAAAUUCUGUUGGUUUUGGGAUUCCACACAUGACAGUCUGUGAUUCACAAGUUGGGGGAUACGAUGUUCCAAAAGGCACCACUGUACUUAUCAAUUACUGGGCGCUUCACCAUGACCCUAAACAAUGGAAGGACCCAGAACAAUUUGACCCACAUCGCUUUCUCGAUGAAAACGGCAAAAUGAAACCCACCAAACCAGACAGUUGGCUUCCCUUUUCUGUCGGACGCAGAGUUUGUUUGGGAGAAUCUUUGGCCAAAUCAGACAUCCUACUGAUAUGUGCCAAUCUUCUACAGCGAUUUGAAAUAAGUCUCCCAGAGGGCGUGAAGCCGAAUUUAGAGUGUCAUAUGAAGGGAUUUGGUAUGGAAAUGCCACCUGAUUACAACAUCGUGGUCAAAGAAAGAUCUGGAUGAUCAAACAUGGUUAUGGACUAGUUUAAUUGUACGUGUACAUUAUUUGCACGAUGUUGGAUGAUGAUGAUUAUUACAUAUGCAAUUUUUUC
rnacentral:misc_RNA from 1 species